rnacentral:rRNA from 1 species
CCGCUUGCAGGUAAACAGAUGGACCCACGAAGUCCUGUUGAGUGAGAGAUUCAUAUCUUUCGAAAGGCGGUGAGAGUAGAUUUUUGUUCCUAGUGGAUGAUGCUAUUCUCACGCAGUCGAUUGAAAGAUGCAUUUCUCUUGCUCACGCUGGAGCUCUGACGGCUUCUUUGACUUUAACUGCUUAUGGCAGCUAUUGAUUGUGGUUGAAUUUUCGGAUUCAUCUCACUUUCUUUGGCGGUUAAGUUAAGUUAAAUGGAGUCGGUGAAUUGCCUAUUUUUGUAGGUGUUUUCAGGUUGAUGGUGUUGGGUAGGUGUCAAGCAUGUUGUAUAAGGACUUUUCGUUUCUUGUAAGUGAAAACCUUUAUACGUAUAUGUUUAAGUACAUCUCACUCUUCACCAAUCAUCAAUCCAGAGUAAGUAGGUCGGUCAUCCAUCUGACCCGUCUUGAAACACGGACCAAGGAGCCCAACAUUAGCGCGAGUCGCUCGGUCUUGCAUAGGCCAGAGAGGCGAAAUAAACAUAAUGGUGUGAUCAUUCACUCUCCUCGGAGACGAAUGCGCAACACCAACCUGCUUAUCUUGCCUUUUGUCAGGAAAGCGGAGUUUGAGCGUUAAUGUUGGUACCCGAAAGAUGGUGAACUAUACUUGGGCAAGACGAAGCCAGAGGAAACUCUGGUGGAGGUCUGUAGCGAUUCUGACGUGCAAAUCGAUCGUCAGACCUGAGUAUAGGGGCGAAAGACUAAUCGAACCAUCUAGUAGCUGGUUCCUUCCGAAGUUUCCCUCAGGAUAGCUGGCACUAAUAUAGCUCUGUAGCACCCGGUAAAGCGAAUGAUUAGAGGUCUUGGGAUCGAAACGAUCUCAACCUAUUCUCAAACUUUAAAUGGGUGCGAAGCUUGACUUUUUUGGAGUAAAGUCUUGCUUUUGUAAGAGUAGUGCCAAGUGGGCCAUUUUUGGUAAGCAGAACUGGCGCUGUGGGAUGAACCAAACGCAGAGUUAAGGCACCAAAUGCCGACGCUCAUGAGACCCCAUGAAAGGUGUUGGUUGCUAUAGACAGC